rnacentral:tmRNA from 1 species
GGGGGUGUAUUAGCUUCGACAGAAGGUACUUUAAAAAUAUAUCGCAAGUAAGUAAGCUCGGUCGCUUCAAAGUGCCGGCAAAUUUCAAGUGCAAAUACACUUGUUAGCAAAGUGAAGAACGCUUUUGCGUCCCUCUCCUUUGCGCCAGCUUUAGCCUAAACGCUUUAGCCAUCUGUCCUUUGCUUUUCGACGAAGGGUUGCAGGUGUCAUAUUCGAAAUGCGGCAUACUUUAUUCGCUAGGAAGUAUGAAUAAGUAUUACUCACGAUAGAGCAAAAGUUUCUUGAUCUCGUUCCAAUCUUCGCUCGAACAAAUCGAAUGAGAACAAACUUGUAGAUGAUAUAUUUUUAACCUUUUGGACGCCGGUGCAACUCCGGCCACCUCCACCA